rnacentral:lncRNA from 1 species
UGCGCCUGGCCCUUCUUUGUAUUUCUUGGUUUUGGUGUCUUAUCUCUCCGAGGAUGUUAAUUUAUCCAACUGGUUAAUGUAUCCAACUGAGUAAGUGCUUACUCAGCACCAGACAUUACGGAGGCACUUGGAAUCCAUCAGUGAAGAAAACAGGCGAAGACACUCACCUGAAUGCGUCUGCAGUCUAGCAGUUGGAGACAGUACACAUAAGUGUGUACAUUUUCUUAUAUGUUAUAAGGUAAUAAAUGAUACAGAAAAAGGAUAAAGCAAGCAGGAUCAGGGAGACUGAUGGUGGGAGGUACACAGGAGGCUCUUUGAAAUAGAACGGUAACCAUGACACCAAAGUCAACACUCGGAGAAAGUGAAGAGGCUGGCAGGUGAAUAAGUGUGGACAGGGCGCCUCACAGAGCAGGACAGGCAAAGGCCC